rnacentral:lncRNA from 1 species
UAUCUUUGUAAGGUUAUUGAAGAUAGAAAAAUUGAUACUUGUAAUGUAUUUUUUAUUCUCAAUAUUUUUAAAGGCUACUAAUUAUACAUACAAUUCAUCGUUCAUCUAAUUCAAUUAUGUAAUAAUAUGUGAACAUCCAAUUACUUAAAAAAUUAGACACAAUGAUAAGUAUAUUUGUGUCAUACUUGUAUAUUUUCUAAUGAUAAAAAAUUAGGGAAAACAAAUCUAGUACUAUAUCUUCAAGUUGCCUUCAACACUUAGCCAAAAAUUCUUGAUCGUCAUGGCCUGCACUAAAAAUUCUUUAUCUUUAUAGCCUGCAUAUGAAUUCAGAACAAAAAUAUAAUUGUGUUUUGCUCUUAGAAAAAAUAUUAACCACCAUUAAAUAUAUCCUAAGGAAGUGGUUAAGUAAGUAAUUCAAAUCUAACAAAUAAAUACAAUUAAAAGUUUUCUUUCGGAGAAAAACUUCUAAAUCACUUGAAUAAUUGUGCCAUAACUACACAGUCUAACAAAUCAACUAGAAAAUCAUAUGAAAAAAAAAAACAUAAAAUGGUCUAACAAACUAGAAUAUUAAAAACACAAGAGAUAGGUAUACGACUCUGACUAUUAAUUUAGAGCUUCGUAGUAAUUGAUUGCCUAUUUUUUCUUUGUUUUCUCCAAUUUAAUUCCACCUUAGUACAGGAUGACUCUAAAAAUUCCAUUUACUUAAACAUCAUUCAUUUUAAUCUCAUGAGACAUCAACCUACAACUCACAAACUAGGUAGGUCUAUACAAAUAUUCACUUCAAUAAUUGAUAGGAAAUUAUUUAUUGCUUCAAAGCGCAAAAGUAGGAACUUUUGUGACCUACAAGCAUCUAACCAAAGAGCAAGCAACUUUUCUAAAUUUCGUUCAACCAAACCAUUACUGGAGAGACAUAUUGAAAUAGCACAUAAUACCCAAAGUUAUUGCAUAACCAAGCUUGAUCAGCAAGUUUAGCUUAUAGGAAAAAAAUUGCUGGAAAAAAAAUCAAUUAAAGUGGCAUGAGAAAUUAAGUACUGCAACUUUAUCCAACAAGACAACCAAAUGAAUGUUAAAUUAAGUACUGCAACUUUAUCCAACAUAAAUUGAUAUAAUGGAAAAAAAAAAGAUAAGAAUUAUAUUGAUAGUUACCUUAUAACAAGAACUAGUUACAAUAGAACCUUAACCAUAUAUGCCCAGUAACUUCAACUUUCUUCAAACAACUGCUCUUCAUAUUGUAAUCCAAUUCUGUGUUUGAUUGCCUUCAAAGUUGAGCUUUAACUAAAAUUCGAAGUGUGUUAAUAAAAUAUUUGAGAAAAUACCAGGGAAAAUGCACAAAUCCAAACAACAUAUAACACAAUUUCAUAAUAAUAUACCAAAAGCAAAACUUUGGGACUAGAAAUAAAUUUUAUAAGCAAAAACAGGGAAGGUAUGAGGAAAAGGUUUUUAUUUGAGAAAGAAUUAUAAAACCACAAGGAAUUAGAAGUUCAAAGACAAAAAAGUUAUAGAUGAUUUGCAGAAAUUAAGAGAAGAUUAGGAUUUCUUAUAAGUUUCAUAUUAAUUAUGGAAGGAAUUGAAAGGAAAAUUGGGAAAAAAAUUAACUUAAAUAUUUUCAAUUACCUCUCUAAAAUUAGAUGGUUCCACGUGCUAAAUGAUAACAGUUGUAAAUUGCACAAAACAAGAACAAGAGUAAAGCGGCAUCCAGCAAAGUUGAAAUUGAUACUUCAUAAAUUUCCCAAAUUGAACAUAGCAUCAAGUAUCAAAACAAUUGUUAAUAUCUUCAAUCACUUUCUCUCUCUAGGGACGAAAUAUUGUCAAUCUAAUGGACUUACUAUUCUCAUUCAAAAAAUUUGCAACCUCUUCGUCACUCUUUUCAAACUCACACCAUUUUCUCUAAGCAACUUCCCAUCAUCCUGAGUAUCAAUAACAAAAAUUAACAAACGUAAAAGCAAAACCUAGAAAUUACCUCCAUUGCAUUCAAGCCAUAUUUGGGGAAAUCCAGACCCAUCAAUUUAUUCUAUCAAACACAAGCCAUCUGGGUUGCAAUUGCUCAGCAAGUUAAGGGGGAUGAACAGGUAAAAUGAUUUCUAAAGAAAUUAUAAGGGAUAAGGAUAUUAGGUUUCAAAAAUCUAAUAGAGAGGAGACUCAAAGGAGAGAAGAAGACUGAGAGUUUUGGGUGACUUUAAGUUUCCAAGGCAAAUUAGGGAUUGUAGACAAAAGAUGAUUAUAAUUAUUUUUUAAGGUCAUUUUAUUUUUUUCAUUCUGCGAUCGACAAUUUUUCCCCCGUCUUUCUUUUCCCUCCCUUUUGGUAGCUUUUUUUUCUCGUCUUUCUUUCCCUCUCUUUUGGUAGCUUUUUUAUAUUGUCACUAAAUUAAAAUUGUUU